UCGUAAUACCAAGAAGCUGUUUAAAGUAAUCUUGGAAACCUGUGCGACAAACAAGUUUUUUGCAUCGUCUUAUAAAAUAAAUAAAUGUCGUGACGUAGUCGUGUGGACUUUGUGUGUGACGGGCUAACAGAAUUAGGUAGAUCGCGUUUAAAUGCGAGGCGUGGCGACCCCGAUGAAAUAUCUACAUACGUGCGGAGAAAAAAUCGUUACGUAUAGAAAGAGUCACUAUCCCCAAGUUGUUUUAUGUAAGAAAAAAAUAAUAAUAAAAAUGGAUGUUGACGUUUUUGUCGUUGUUGCGAUGGCGUGCAAAAAGGCAAGCUUGACAUUCUCAUUUCCUUCUGUAGAACGACCGACGAGUUCACUGCAAAAUAUUAUAUACAUGUUAUCUUGAAAGCGAGAGAGCGUAAUAGCAGCCAACAUCACAGACAGGAAAGAGAUCUGACUAUAGAGUACAUUAGAGCCAUACAGCAAAAAUCACGAAAAAAAAAGGCACCGUGUCUUUGCCUCUUUUUCGGGGAGGUUCUUGUUGUGUUUAGGGACAGCCAUUUCUGUUUUGCAAUGGGGCUAAAUAUAAUCUAAUUUUUUUUUUCUUUACCGUGUAUACAAACUCCUUUUUUUUUUUCUGGUUACGUUCGUGACACUGUUCAUCCAGCCGUCGAAUCUUGUAGACUCGGAUUUUGUACGGCACAAAGAUCGGUGGUGAGCUGGUGACACACCACUUUCCGCUUUGGAAAUCCCAAAUUGUAGUGCUGCGAUGUCACCGUAUACAAACAUCUGCUGGAUGAUGAGCAAAAAUAACGUUUCAGUUGUAAAUGUAAAAUAGUUCUUACCAUCAACGUGCAUAUUUCUUGACAGGUGGCUGCCGAACUUGGAUACCGAUAUUUAAUUAAGAACAAGGCAAACUUUGAAUAAUACAGGGGAUGUCACUGGCUGAAUCAAAAUCUGGAAAGCCAAAAAAAAAAGAGGAACUUGUUAGAUGAGUACUUUAAUAGAGCAUUUACAUAUCUAAUUAAUUGGCUGCCUAAACUGUUUGAUUUAAGUUUUCAUCCACAAUUGAUUUUUGUGGGAUUUAUACAUUAAAGGAUAUCCAUGCCUGUUUUACAUUGACUAGAAAAGGAAAACUUGCAGAACAUUGACAGCAAAGUCACAGAUUCAAGCAACACUAAUUUUGCAGCUAUCUUCAAAGCAGCAAAAGCAUAAGACAGUAAAAUUUAAAGAGCACAUCAUAGCGAUCUCAUAUGUUUGACUUGAAAUGAAUAAAAUGUUUUCUGCUCUGUUGAA